ensembl:lncRNA
AUUGCAUUUUUGAUCAGACACAGUACUGGCUGAAGGCUGAUGGAAGUGGGUCUUGGGGCACUGUCAGAAAACACACUGGGGAAGAGUCUCGCAUUCUCAAUGAGAUACCUGUUGGAGUGGGCACUCCUAUGUUGACCCAUUUGGGAGCUGAACAAAAGGAAUGUGAAGGCUUGGCCAAGAUAAAUGCAUUGAGGAUGUUGGAAAUUAAGAAAACAACUGCCCAGCUGGCAGAGGAUGAAGGUCAGCCCUAUUGGAAGAGGCCAGCUGGUGGCUCCUUGUCUGCUGCAUGGUGGUGAUGAGGGUGAUGAGCUGUGGGCUCAGCACUGCCAGAGAAAUGUAGUGGAAGCUCUUCAUGCAUGCUGUCUGCACACAUACACACAUCAUGCAACGUACAAACUACUCACUAAUUAAAUCAUAGGGGCAAUGAUGUCCUCCUCCUGUUUUGAGGACUGUAAGGGUCUGGUGACAGCCUAGAGGUACCAGGAGAUAAUAAGCCUGCCUCGUAAUUUCUGACCAUCUAUCCCUAGCUGAUUCAGGUCAUUAGAGUUAUUUUGCAACACUCUCUUAAUAACCUGCAAACGCUCUCCUCCAGUGCUGAAAUCAUACACAAAAGGCCAAGGUUUAGGGAGAUGAAGACAACGCUGAUAAUGAGUCCCUGAUUGAUUAAAAGUAAAUACAUUUUUAUUCAGAGAAAAGGGCAUUUGUUACCACAAACAUUUCACCUUCAGCACAAAUAGGAGUUACACUUACAUUUACUAAGGGAUUAUAGCAGCACUACGACUAAUUACUUCCCAGCAGCUGUUGGCCUCAGGUUAGAUGUAAGCUACUUCUGGCAAUAUGUGGUGUGGGUUCAUGUAAAAGGAGGCCAGUAUUUUCAUUGUCUUGGUGGAAAACAGUGCAACGGUGAGAUGUGAGUGAAAAUACUAUGCAUAAUGCAAUAUGAAAUAAGAGCUUAUUACAAGGAGAAGGCUCAAGGAGAUCAAACAACAUUAGUCCAUCCCACCAUUUUAUGUUAUGAGGGAGAUAUUAAUAAUUCUGUUUGUAUUUUGUAGAUGGCCUCAAGUUGUACAAUUAUCACAUAGGAAGGUGCACAUUACUUACUGGAGAUAGCUUCAGACUCCUUGAUUACCUUGAGUUGCAUGAAGUCGAUUGUAUGUUCCUGAUAUGACCUAUGACCUAUGCAAAUUGUAGGACACUUACAGUCAGUAGAAUGUUAUUUGUCCUUCAGUUAUUUGCCAGACAUUAGGUGUAAGAUAUUACUCUUUUCUUGAAUCCCAAAUAGUCACACCUUUGCUAUUCUUAAGUGAUGCUCCGAACUCUCUGCUCUUCCAUUCAGUGGUAUAUAAUUUUUGCUAAGCCGCUGGCAAGUGAUAAGAUUACUUUAAAAUAUCUAUUAGGAUUCAGAGAAGGAGGUUUCUACAGGUGUAGGCAAUGAGCAGCCCUGAAAUUAUUGAGUUAUUCAUAACUUAGAGCAGUUACAAAUUACUGCUAUUAACUGAAUACUGUAAUUACAGCCAGAAGCUAGGUCUUGUAGCAUAAUUUCUGGUGUGGAUAGUUUUUAGUGCAUGUCUUGGGGAGCAGAAAUUUAGAGCAUACAGAGAAAGAGCUGUUUUGAUCCUGUAAAAGCAUUUGGUCUGCUCUAGGUCACAAACAAUAGAAACUUUCACUUUGGAUGAGCAAAGAAGUCCUGCUCUGCUUAAAAUAGUGAAGGAAUGGUACCAAUGAAUGCUGUCACUGGCUGGACUAUUUUUCACAACGACACGAGGAAGAUCCUCUGUAAAGGUCUUUCAUCAAAAAAUGUACUUUGACAAUUGGCCUGUCACAUCAUGAAAUUGCUGAUUGACUCUAGAAAAUCCCUUUGAAAUAAACCUGGGAGAGACUGGUCUCAGAUAUUGUAUCACAGAGCAAGCAGAGACUCCAGCAAUACCUCAGCACAAGCCAUCCAUAGGCCUAUGUUGUCAACAUAUAGAAGUACAGACUGACUGCUCCUUUCACCUGUGGCAUCACCAGGUCCCCCUCUGUACAAUGUGUUUUGAUGUGUCUUGAGUAUAGGAAGUGCUUAAGAAAAACAACAGUACUUUAAUUGCAAACAACUACCAAACCAGAUACUCAGGUUGUUGAAUUUAUUUAUAUGAUUCUGCACAGUGGAUGUCAGCAAGCAUUGAAAAGUAUCUUCCAUGGCUGUGCACAGUGGCUGGGCAUGAAAUUGGGGUUCAUUUUAGUGCUUCAUAGGUGCAGAAAGAAUGCUAGCUGUCAUACUCCAUUGCUCCCUGUACCUUGAGAAGAGAGCUUUCUGGAGGAUAUUUAAACCUGAGAUAUUCCUUUCACACAGUCAGCGAGAGGCAAACAGCACUACAUCCAGUCCAAGCAGAAUGCAACAGAGUGAUUUAGAUUUCAUGCCAUGUAUUUUUGACCUUUCUGUUGGAAGAAUAACACCGAGCUUGUUUAAGAGUAAAAGAUUGAUGUAUGUCUUGUUCUGAAAGCAAUGUUAUAAAAAUUGUACCUUCUUACU